GGCGGCAGUACUGACUGCAACGUGUAACUUCUUAAAUAAAGAUGAUAGCCAAGGAAUUUCUUAAGUGUCAGCAUUAAGAGAUGCCUUUUAAGUAUUCUGAACUUGGAGCAACAAUGGCGAAUCGGUACGAUAGAAAUACGCUUGCAGCCAUUGGAAAGGUAUCUAAUGAGAUUCCGAGCAACUGGAACUCUUGGGAGUCUUCUCAAUAGCCUGUAAUUUUAAAAGUUUGACAAAUAUAGCAUUAGGCUUAACUUGCAGAUUCGGAAGCUGUUACUCUAUUCUGCCUCAAUUUUAGGGCACUGUGAUUAUCAAUGAAAUGAAGUACUUGUGAUUCCCCCCCCCCAAACUUCUGCAUUGAAUGUUGGGCAUGGUUUGUAGGUGUUCAUAGCAGGCACUUCCUUGUUUGAAGUUUCAGAAUGUUUUGCUUUUAAAACUCAUGAGGCUUUGGAAAUAUUUAUAGGACUAGGUUGCUUUGUGUGUAACAUGUAAGAAACAACAUUUUUGCUUCUGUUCAGACAUACCUUUGUGUCUCCAGAUUUCUAGGCAUAUUUACAAACACACACUUCUUCCUCUUUGGAUUUACUUGGAAUGUAUCUGCAAAAAGGUCAUGAUUUGGGGCGUGUGUGUGUGUGUUUUUAAUGCAUGUUCUGAAGCACUUACUGUGUCAGGACUGAUUCUUGAAAAGCAGUUCCUUCUUGCUACCUUUUGGCUAAAGCUGGAUGAUUUAACAGAAGCUUUCAUUGAACUUUCUUGAGAGUGGAUUUAUUUUUGCAGUUUUAAACUUUGGGAAAGCCAUAUAAUCCCUGAGCUAUUUGAGUCAUGGACAGGGGAUUGUUUUUCUGGUUAUUUAUACAUUUCUAGAAGUCAGGUAAACAUUGCUGACUACCUGUGGGCUUGAAGAAAAAUCAGGUUGGCAAUUCACCCAUUUUAAAACAUAUUCAAAAACAAAUGGUUAAAUUUGUGAAAUCUAUGAAAUUAGAGAGAAGCUCCUUGUGAAAUUCACUGUAAUUACUGACAUCAGAAGGGGUUCCAAGGACAAUUUAGUGAUCAGUUAUGUGGAUAUGUGAUCAGUUAUGUGAGGGGCUAUAUCAUUUUGGCUAUUCUAGAUUUACCACUUUAUAUAUUUAAGAUGUCCAAUCUGCUUUUCACAUACAGUAUAUUUUGAAGCAUCAUACCUGCAGAUGUCAACCCAAGACCUGAAAUUUGAAGUGCAUCUAAAGAAGGAAAGCUUUAGAGACGUUUAUUUAGAAAAGAGCUUUUGGGAUUGCAUAGCUAUUUUGUUGCAGUGCCCAUGGAGCAGGAAAAUUUGACUGCAGCAUUAUUUUAGUCACAUUACAUUAAUAUUUCCAGCACAGAAGUUCCCAUGAAAACAUUCAAGGCAAUAAAAGACACUACUGAGAGAAACGUAUUUGACUAGCGUGCCUUGUUAUUAGCACUAAAUUUGAUGUUGUCCUUGGGCAUAAUCUGCCAGGUAUUGGAGCUUCAUGUUCUUUAUUUCAGCGGGGCUUAAAACGUAUGGAGAAUGCCCUUCCCUCAGGUCACCUGGACCACCAAACUCGUGCCACUGUAGCUUAUAUAUUUCCCAUUUCCCCUUGCAAUGAAUGAAUACCACCUGCUUCCUAAUGCUAUGUUAAUUGUUCAUGAACAAUUACAUACGUUGCUCAUAUUGUGCCCAACAUUUGUCCCAGUCUUGACAGCAGUAAGUUUCGUGUUUUGUCUCCCUUUUCCCAACAGAUAGCUGGCAGGAAGGAGGGAGGGAGGAUGCCCACACUAAAUUUCUCUCUCCUCUCUUCUGGCCAAUGGUAGAGGAAGAUGAAUUUUAAGCCAAUAUCUUUAUUUUUAAAAAGUUACAGCUACUCCCACCUUGUGCAUAUAGACAAGUUGUGGCAUGCUACAGUAAUGCUUGCAAGGAUUAGUUUUAAUUUUGAAUUGCAGAAGAAAUGCAGUUGCCCUAGCUUAAAAAUAAGUUGGCAAGGGAUAUUUUUUGCAUCUCAAGAUGAAAAAUGUUCUCCAGUUUUUAAAUAUGUAACUGUUUAAAAUCCAUGCUUUAUUUCCAUUCGUAUGCUCAAUAUGAUUUUUGAUUUUAAGGGAAUAAUUUCCAUUACUUUCAUUCUGCAUUUGGUAUACAUACAUGUAAGUCAUGCCCACAUGUUAGACCCCCUGCCCGUCUUUCCCAGCCACUCUCCUGACCACAAUGGUGGUGCCUGCACAGAUCCAUUUAACACAUUGUGGGAAGAAAAGUCGGUAGGUUCCAGUCUGAGGAAGUCUGAGCUGCCACCUACCCUGGAGAAAAUAGUGGGAGUUUUAGUUUAGCAAUUGCUACUCUGUAAAUGAUGAAUUGCACUGAAAAUGUUUGUUAUAAAACUGCAAACACAUUCUCCCACUUCUGUCUUUAAUUUCUAACCUGCCUAUUGCUAGGUCAGGAAUUUAUAUAAAUAUAAUGCACGAGAAUAGAUUAAAAUACACACUAAAGUUUGAGGCCCUUAAAAGCUUUAACUAUAAUAUUAAAUUGUCUUUUAAAGAAAAAAAGAUAGUCACCUAGCUUGUUUACAUUUAACCUGCACUUGUUAUUGGUACCACCUCCAUAACUUAAGCACUGCCUUGCAAAGUUGACCAUUUGACACCUCCAUGCGAAAAAGCACUUUUGAAAUUAAUUAUGUUAAAUGUUAAGGUAGAUUUUAACUUAAAGCAAAUAUUUUUAUGUGGAGUUACUUAUUUUCCUGGCUGCUCACUUUCCGUUGUAUUGGUUUUAAUUGUGGCUUGUGCACACAUUAGCCCAGCCGGUCGGCAUCCCCAGGCUUUGAUGUGCAGAUGGUUGCCUUUCUAAAGAAGGGCUUCCUUGCUGCCACUGCUGCUGCUUCAGUGUUGGUGAGAAUUCCACAUGCACAUCCCUAACGCUUGUAUGAAGCUGUCGGUUAACACUGAAGUGAACAGGGAUGCUCUGCUGGCGCAAGGCUGCCUGUGCACAUAAGAGCUCUGUGGGCCUAUGGUUGGGGUCAUUGCUUUUCCUCUUGCUGUGCCCGAAGGUAGCUGUGUUUACUUUGUGUUAGAUGCAAUUAGAAGCAAGAAUGGUAACACUAGACUACCUCUGGCAUAGCACGAUGGCAGUAGAGCAUUAAUCUUGGAUAAAGCCAAUUGCCAAGGGAUAAAUUCUUCAGAAACGUAAUGUGUCCACAAACCUUUGAUAGUCUUCACCCGCUCCCACAUCCAUUCCCCCACACAGUAGAAUUGGCUACCUAAUUAUUUUAAUUGAUUUGGCUGGAUGCCAGACUUGCAUGACACUAUGAAUAAGUUGAGUCCUCUGGCAGGAUGACAUUGACUGGAAGGUAUAGAUACUUUUUUAUUUUAAAGGAAAAAAAUAUUCGAGAUCCUAAGAAAGUAUUUGUUUUACCUUCUGACUCUGAAAAUGAAACUAACUCUGGAAAGUGCACCUUCCUGAUAGAUUGAGCUUGGUAAAACUUAAUUUUCACCAAGAGAUAUAAGUAUAAUUGGGUUUGUAGCUGUUGCACCUUGCCUACAAUUUGGGAUGGACCAUAACAACGUACAGCUGCAACCAUUUAUUUUGCCUUAUGGUACAUUUAUAAAUCCAUGGCACAGAUUAAGAGAUGAACCAUGAUUUGAUUAAAAUCUCCACACAAUUGCAUUUGCAGUAACAUCUAUUUUCUUUUGAACUGGGUAAUCAUAAAUUAAUGAGCACGUACAUGUGAGCCACAAACAUGUUUCAUUAGAAUUUUGAUACAAUUUUUGCUUCCAGGGGUUCCGUCCCAAAUCUACAAAGGUUGCAAGAGGCUUCAGAUCACAAACUGUAAUAUUCAGGUAGCUUGUGAUUCUAAAAAAACUUAAUAAAAACGUUGUGAUGUAAUCAUGCAAACAGUCAGGUGCCUAGUGUGGUCUUUAAUCUUUCUCCUGUUUACUGUAUUCUGUAUUUUAAUGUUGCAGAUAAAAUGUAGCUGUUCCUGUUUAUGUAGUGUUUUAAUUAUUAAAUUAAUUUGAUAAUGUACUGUAAUGUUGCCUCUCAAAAUACACAUCUGCUUUCGGGUUAAUUGUAAAAUAAAGCAAUAUUUAAAUUUA